rnacentral:rRNA from 1 species
GAUGAACGCUGGCGGCGUGCCUAAUACAUGCAAGUCGAGCGAACAGACGAGGAGCUUGCUCCUCUGACGUUAGCGGCGGACGGGUGAGUAACACGUGGAUAACCUACCUAUAAGACUGGGAUAACUUCGGGAAACCGGAGCUAAUACCGGAUAAUAUAUUGAACCGCAUGGUUCAAUAGUGAAAGACGGUUUUGCUGUCACUUAUAGAUGGAUCCGCGCCGCAUUAGCUAGUUGGUAAGGUAACGGCUUACCAAGGCAACGAUGCGUAGCCGACCUGAGAGGGUGAUCGGCCAAACUGGAACUGAGACCCGGUCCAGACUCCUACGGGAGGCAGCAGUAGGGAAUCUGCCGCAAUGGGCGAAAGCCUGACGGAGCAACGCCGCGUGAGUGAUGAAGGUCUUCGGAUCGUAAAACUCUGUUAUUAGGGAAGAACAAAUGUGUAAGUAACUAUGCACGUCUUGACGGUACCUAAUCAGAAAGCCACGGCUAACUACGUG